AGGUUGUGCUGACAGUACUCACGAAACAAGCAACUACUUCCAUGUGCUUGAACGGUUUAAGGAUGGGUAUACAUUACCUUACUUUCCCAAUCAUGGUAUUCUUGCAGCAAGGCAUCAGAAAUCUUGCCAUAGUGCUCAAGCAAGAAAUGUCAUUUGCAUUGACCAAUAUGGCCGGCAACAUCAGAAACAAAUUCUGUUUUUUGAGUGUAAAAA